rnacentral:rRNA from 1 species
AGAGUUUGAUCCUGGCUCAGGAUGAACGCUGGCGGCGUGCCUAAUACAUGCAAGUCGAACGCUUGCUUGAGGACUUGUCUUCAAGCAGGAGUGGCGAACGGGUGAGUAAUACAUAAGCAAUCUGCCCAUCGGCCUGGGAUAACAGUUGGAAACGACUGCUAAUACCGGAUAGGUGAUGAAGAGGCAUCUCUCGAUCAUUAAAGUUGGGAUACAACACGGAUGGAUGAGCUUAUGGCGUAUUAGCUAGUAGGUGAGGUAACGGCUCACCUAGGCGAUGAUACGUAGCCGACCUGAGAGGGUGACCGGCCACAUUGGGACUGAGACACGGCCCAAACUCCUACGGGAGGCAGCAGUAGGGAAUUUUCGGCAAUGGGCGAAAGCCUGACCGAGCAACGCCGCGUGAGUGAAGAAGGCCUUCGGGUUGUAAAGCUCUGUUGUGAAGGAAGAACGGCUCAUACAGGGAAUGGUAUGGGAGUGACGGUACUUUACCAGAAAGCCACGGCUAACUACGUGCCAGCAGCCGCGGUAAUACGUAGGUGGCGAGCGUUAUCCGGAAUUAUUGGGCGUAAAGGGUGCGCAGGCGGUUUGUUAAGUUUAAGGUGAAAGCGUGGGGCUUAACCCCAUAUAGCCUUAGAAACUGACAGACUAGAGUACAGGAGAGGGCAAUGGAAUUCCAUGUGUAGCGGUAAAAUGCGUAGAUAUAUGGAGGAACACCAGUGGCGAAGGCGGUUGCCUGGCCUGUAACUGACGCUCAUGCACGAAAGCGUGGGGAGCAAAUAGGAUUAGAUACCCUAGUAGUCCACGCCGUAAACGAUGAGAACUAAGUGUUGGGGAAACUCAGUGCUGCAGUUAACGCAAUAAGUUCUCCGCCUGGGGAGUAUGCACGCAAGUGUGAAACUCAAAGGAAUUGACGGGGGCCCGCACAAGCGGUGGAGUAUGUGGUUUAAUUCGACGCAACGCGAAGAACCUUACCAGGUCUUGACAUACCAGGCAAAGCUAUAGAGAUAUAGUGGAGGUUAUCCUGGAUACAGGUGGUGCAUGGUUGUCGUCAGCUCGUGUC